rnacentral:rRNA from 1 species
GACGAACGCUGGCGGCGUGCCUAAUACAUGCAAGUUGAGCGCUGAAGGUUGGUACUUGUGCCAACUGGAUGAGCAGCGAACGGGUGAGUAACGCGUGGGUAAUCUGCCUUUGAGCGGGGGACAACAUUUGGAAACGAAUGCUAAUACCGCAUAAAAACUUUAAACACAAGUUUUAAGUUUGAAAGAUGCAAUUGCAUCACUCAAAGAUGAUCCCGCGUUGUAUUAGCUAGUUGGUGAGGUAAAGGCUCACCAAGGCGAUGAUACAUAGCCGACCUGAGAGGGUGAUCGGCCACAGUGGGACUGAGACACGGCCCAAACGCCUACGGGAGGCAGCAGUAGGGAAUCUUCGGAAAUGGACGAAAGUCUGACCGAGCAACGCCGCGUGAGUGAAGAAGGUUUUCGGAUCGUAAAAAUCUGUUGGUAGAGAAGAACGUUGGUGAGAGUGGAAAGCUCAUCAAGUGACGGUAACUACCCAGAAAGGGACGGCUAACUACGUG